rnacentral:lncRNA from 1 species
UAAGACUAUACUUUGUGAAUUUCGUUAAGGUUCUGAUCUCGUGACCAUCGUUAGGUUUGAUUGGGUUUAACACUAAUACGUAUUCCACUCUGUUAAACUAAAUGUUUAACUACCAGAAACUCUGCACUAUACACUUACAAUCAAGAUAGAUGCCUAGUUAUCAGAAGACUUAGAAUCAGAAGGCCUGUUAAAUCAAGACUAUAUGCUAACAAGGUGAUUACAAUAGAUUGGAAUAAAAGUGAUGAUACGGCACCGAAAGGCUUA